AUUGAACGCUGGCGGCAUGCCUUACACAUGCAAGUCGAACGGUAACGCGGGGCAACCUGGCGACGAGUGGCGAACGGGUGAGUAAUGCAUCGGAACGUGCCCAGUAGUGGGGGAUAGCCCGGCGAAAGCCGGAUUAAUACCGCAUACGACCUAAGGGUGAAAGCGGGGGAUCGCAAGACCUCGCGCUAUUGGAGCGGCCGAUGUCAGAUUAGGUUGUUGGUGGGGUAAAGGCCUACCAAGCCUGCGAUCUGUAGCUGGUCUGAGAGGACGACCAGCCACACGGGGACUGAGACACGGCCCAGACUCCUACGGGAGGCAGCAGUGGGGAAUUGUGGACAAUGGGCGCAAGCCUGAUCCAGCCAUGCCGCGUGCGGGAAGAAGGCCUUCGGGUUGUAAACCGCUUUUGUCGGGGAAGAAAUCUUCUGAGCUAAUACCUCGGGAGGAUGACGGUACCCGAAGAAUAAGCACCGGCUAACUACGUGCCAGCAGCCGCCGUAACAC
rnacentral:rRNA from 1 species